UUUGAGUAAACUAGUGACUGAAACUUAUGAGUUUGCAGAAGAAUGCUUGCAAAUAAACUAUUAUGGUGCUAAAAGAACAGCUGAAGCACUUAUCCCACUCCUCCAGUUAUCUGACUCACCGAGAAUUGUUAAUGUUUCGUCUGGUGCGGGGAAGUUAAACAACAUACCAAGCGAUUGGGCUAAAGGAGUUUUUACUGAUGCCAAAAACCUAACAGAAGAGAGAGUAGAUGAGGUACUGACUGAGUUUCUAAAAGAUUUCAAGGAGGGUUCACUUGAAAGUAAAGGCUGGCCUUCUUCUAUGCCUGCCUAUACAGUCUCAAAAGCAGCACUGAACGCAUAUACAAGGAUUCUAGCAAAGAAGUACCUCAAUUUUCGUAUCAAUUCGGUCUGCCCUGGCUUUGUCAAAACAGAUAUAAACUGCAAUGCCGGCGUCUUGCCUGUCGAAGAAGGUGGGGCCAGGAUUGUGAAGUUAGCAUUGCUGCCCAGUGAUGGCCCUACUGGCUCCUUCUUUGUUCACAAUGAAGUGUCAGAUCUUUGAUUGAAGAUGAUCCAUUAUGCAAAUUUAAUACGAGUCACUUAUUGGGCAACAUCUCGUACUGUAAUGCAAUUUUAAGUAUUUUGGUAUGUAUAUUGAUUGAAGGAUCUAGUGCAUUGUUUACAUUUCUACCAUUCAUAUGUUAAUGUGCAAAAAUGGUAAACUGAUUUAGUAUGUAAUUGCUGGUUUAGUGUUAUACUUAGCUUAUAGGCUAAGCUGUCUAUAAUAGUCAAAAUGGUUUGUUAAGUCUUAUAGGACUUGACAGGACAGGUGUCAUAGUCUUACUAAUAGUGUAGUUGGAUGGUUGAGAUUGAAGCUAGGAUUUGUCUAGCUCUCUCUCUCUUCUAACAGUAAUAUGAGCUGUGAGUGAAACAGCUCGAUAUACCCAACGAAAUACAAAAAGUUUUACCGAGCAUUUUAUUUCCUUCACUCUCUUUUUCAAUAUACUCAUUCCUCCAUUUUUAUCAGAAGCUUAUUAAACACUAACAUGGCCUCAGAGCCAGGUUGGGUCUGAAUUUCUGGGCAUUGUGACUGUGAGGUUAGGUUUGAAUCUGUGAGCAAAAGCUCGUUGUGUGAUUCUUGAGCUCAAAUCAGUAAUCUAGACUAACAUGUCUGGAUCUGGAGGAGGAGAACUCAGGGCACCCAUUUUUAAUGGUGAAAAUUUCAAUUUCUGGCAAAUCAAAAUGAAAACCAUCUUCCGUUCGCACGAGCUGUGGGAUCUUGUGGAGAAUGGGUACAAAACUCCGACGAAGGAGGGGGAGGAGCUCACGGAGGUAGAGAGGAAGCUGAUGCGUGAGAACUUGGUGAAGGACGCUAGAGCUCUGGGUAUCAUCCAAGGGGCUGUAUCAGAUCAAAUUUUUCCACGAAUUGCAACUUAGGAAUCUACAAAGGCUGCGUGGGAUAUUCUAAAACAAGAAUUUGUGGGUGAUAAGCAGGUAAGAUCUGUGAAACUUCAGGGUCUUAGGCGUGAUUUUGAAUAUACUCGGAUGAGUGAUAAUGAAUCAUUGUUUGGAUAUAUUGCUAAGUUGUUUGAUCUGAUCAACCAAAUGAAGAGCUAUGGUGAGGAUCUGAGCAAUCAACGAAUUGUUCAGAAACUACUUAUUAGUCUGCCUAAGUCCUAUGAUAGUAUUGCAGCUGUGAUAGAGAAUACAAAAGAUUUAGACACUAUUGAUGCUCAGGAUGUUGUUGCUAUUUUAAAAGGAUAUGAGCAGAGGCAGGGGCGGAACUAUUCAUAGGCCUGAGAUGGCCUGGGCCCCCCCAUCAUCUUCUAAACUCUUUGAAUGUAUAAAGAGUAUAGCAUAGAUUGCACAAAAAAUCCUAUAAUUUUAAAGCUUGUGGCCCCCCCAAAUAUUAAACUCUACCUCCGCCACUGAGCAGAGGCUUGAUAGGCAUGGUGACAAUAGUGCAGAGAAGGCUUUUGCUAGCUUCAACGUUGGAUCAAAGGCAACACGGUCUAAUGGUCACACCAGUAAGUCUCAGAAGAAUGCCAAACCACACGGGCAGCAAUGGGGCAACAAGGGUGAUGGAGGUAAUAAGUCUAAUUCCUCAAUGAAAAAUGAGACAUACAACAUUGGAAAUAAAUGCAAAUUCUGUGAUAAAUUGCACUAUGGAGAGUGUUGGUUUAAGAACAAGGUCAAGUGUCACAAGUGUAACAAAAUUGGGCAUAUUGCAAAAUAUUGUCAUACAAACAAGGCUGUGCAGCAUAUGAACUUUGCUAAUCAUGUUGAAGAAACAGGAAACUUAUUCUUUGCUAAUCAUUCUGGAGAAGUAAAGAAGAUGAGUGAUGAAUGGUACAUAGAUAGUGGAUGUAGCAAUCAUAUGACAUCCAGGGAAGACUUGCUUGUAGACAUUGUCAGAGAAGUGAAAGCAAAGGUUCAAGUAGGCAAUGGAGUUUUGGUUGAAGUGGCAGGAAAAGGGACAUUGAUCAUUGAAACAAUGAAGGGUAAGAGGUAUAUAAAGGAGGUUAUGCUUGUACCUAGUCUAGCUGAAAAUUUGCUAAGUGUAGGACAGAAGACAGAGCAUGGCUAUUUUCUUGUAUUUGGAGAUCACAAGGUUGACAUCUUCGAUGAUAGUUCCUUAAGUAACAUGGUGGUAAGUGUAAAGCAAAAGGGGAACAGGUGUUUUCCUUUAACUUUCAACAAAAUCAAGGUGAUUGCCUUGAAAACAAAUGUGCAAGAAUGCUCCAAGAUAUGGCACAAGAGGUUUGGGCACUUAAACUUUCGAAGCCUCAAGCUACUGCAGAGCCAAGCAAUGGUAUUGGGGCUGCCUGAAAUCCAAAACGGUGAAGUGUUGUGCCACAGUUGUGUAUUGUGGAAGGGUCACAGGGAGCCAUUUCCUAAGGAAUCAAAGUGGAGAGCCAAGGAGCCAUUAGAAUUGAUUCAUUCAGACUUGUGUGGUCCAAUGCAAACAGCAAGCCUAGGUGGAAAUAAAUAUUUUAUCACAUUCAUAGAUGAUUUUUCAAGGAUGUGCUGGGUUUAUUUUCUGAGAAACAAGUCCGAGACAUUCCAUGUGUUCAAGAAAUUCAAAGUAAUGGUGGAGCUUCAAUCCGGAUACCAUGUGAAGAGGUUGAGGAUUGAUCGGGGAGGAGAAUACAUCUCAGCUGAUUUUCUCCAGUUUUGUGAAAAUCUGGGAAUAGAAAGGCAACUCACAGUUGCUUAUUCUCCACAGCAAAAUGGCGAUGCGGAGAGGAAAAACAGAACCAUUGUAGAAAUGGCAAAGUGCAUGAUUCAUGACAAGGAGCUUCCCUACACGCUUUGGUGUGAGGCAGUGAAUACCUCUGUGUAUUUACUUAAUAGAAGUCCAACCCGAGCUUUGGAGAAUACUACACCUUUUGAGAAGUUUAGUGGGAGAAAGCCUGGAGUUAAACAUCUCAAGGUGUUUGGCUCGGUGUGUUACUCACUUAUUCCUGGAAAGUUAAGGCAUAAGCUAGAAGCAACAAGUGCCAUAUGAGUUUUUAUUGGUUAUGGUAGAUGUGAGAAGGGAUAUAGAAUAUUGAAUCCUGCAACUCAGAAGGUUUUGCUGUCAAGGGAUGCGGUUUUUGAUGAGCAUGGAAAAUGGAACUGGGAGCAACACAAAGUGAAAGAAAUCUGCAUUCCACUUCCUACAGAUGAACUGUCAGAUAUGAGAACAGCUGAAUCAAAAGAAGAACCUACUUUCCAAGAACCUGAAACAGAAGAAGAACCUGCAGAUGAUCCCUCAGUUGAUGACACACCUUUGAGGUACAGAAAUUUGAGUGAGAUCUAUGCAAGUUGCCAUUCAUGGAUAGUGGAGCCUGAGAACUUUGAUGAAGCUGCACGGGAUGAAGCUUGGAAGAAGGCAAUGGAAAAUGAGAUGAACAUGGUUGAGAAGAAUCAGACGUGGGAAUUGGUAAAUAGACCUUUCAACAAACCUAUAAUUGGAGUAAAAUAGGUGUACAAGACUAAGUUGAACUUGGAUGGUUCGGUUCAAAAGCAUAAAGCUAGACUAGUUGCAAAGGGCUAUGCACAAAAGCCUGGAAUAGAUUAUAAUGAAACCUUUGCACCAGUGGCAAGGUUGGAUACUAUACGAACUCUCAUUGCCUUGGCUGCAAAGAAUAGUUGGAAAAUGUAUCAAUUAGAUGUGAAAUCAGCUUUUCUAAAUGGAGUGCUUCAAAAGGAGGUGCAUGUAGAGCAGCCCGAUGGUUUUAUUGUGCAAGGAGAAGAGGAUAAAGUGUAUAAAUUGCACAAAGCCUUGUAUGGCUUGAAACAGGCUCCUAGAGCCUGGUAUGGAGAAAUAGACUCUUAUCUCGUGCAAUGUGGUUUUAAAAGGAGCACAAGUGAGGCAACAUUAUAUGUUAAAGGCAGGGGAACCUCGGAUUUGGUCAUAGUAUCUAUCUAUGUGGAUGAUAUAGUUUAUACAGGGAAUUCUCAAGAGCUAAUGCAAGAUUUCAAGACUAAUAUGAUGCAGAGGUAUGAGAUGACUGAUUUGGGUUUGCUACAUCACUUUCUAGGAAUGGGAAUUAUCCAAAGUGAAGACUACAUUUUCAUAUACCAGAAGAAAUAUGCUUCCACACUUUUGGAAAGGUUUGGUCUGCAGGAUUGUAAACCGGUUGGUAUUCCUCUUGUACCAACUGAUAAAUUGAAGAGAGAUGAUGAAAGUGGAGCUUCAAAUGAAGCUGAAUACAGAAAACUAGUGGGAAGUCUACUCUACCUCACUUUCUCGCUCUGAUAAAACUCUUUUAAGAUAAAGCUCUCACACUCUCAAAUUUCUCUCUCUCUAUUUUCUCUUUGGAUACCGUAUUCUACAACUGAAUGAGCAAGCCUAUUUAUAGUCAAAUUGGGUGGCUUCAUGUGCAUCUCCAAAGUCUUCUUCUCCCAACAUCAUCAUUUUCCUUUUGACUAUCAUUUUCUUAUUUUCUUUGUGUGGGCUCCAUCUACAUCCUUUACAACAUAAUCAACAAUUUUCUACUUCUUAUUAUUUAUUUGAAUAUGAACCUCAAAAUUCAAAGGCCUUCCAAGAAAAUUUCACUAUAAAAGAAAAGAAGGCUCUCCUUCUAUUUAAUACACAUCUCAAUUCUCACAGGCCGUCCCGUUUCGAAUCUAUCAAUGGCAGAAGCAACAAAGAGGUAGCACUUUAGACUUCUUUAUGCUUUGUUUCCUUGUCCGAUUUCCAAUCCCUUUAAUUGUUUUUGUUUCUAUGAAAUUGGUGUUUGUGUUUUCUUAGGUAUGCAGUUGUUACUGGAGCAAACAAAGGCAUAGGAUUGGAAACUGUCAGGCAGUUGGCCUCAAAGGGGUUCACCGUAGUCUUAACUGCCCGAGAUGAGAAGAGGGGUCUUGAAGCUGUUGAGAAACUCAAAGAGUCUGGCCUCUCUGGUCAAGUGGUUUUUCAUCAACUUGAUGUAGCUAACCCUGCUACUGUUGCUUCCUUGGCAAACUUCAUCAAAAUCCAGUUUGGGAAACUCGAUAUCUUGGUAUAUAUAUGAUCAUAGCUGCAGGUUUCUUCAAAAAAGUUUCUGUCUUUUGAAUCCAACUCGUAAUCCAAAUGCGAUUUAGUGGAAGGAGAAGAAAUAUGGCAUUGGAGAAUAAAAACGGCAAACCAAGUAAUACUAGCUUAAUAAUAUCAUCAAGAAGUUAAUCUUUGAAAUAAUUAGAAGUCCUAGGCUUUUUGAAGAACAAAACAAGUUUCACAUAACUACCAGUUGUGGAAGGUUUUACUUUCAAAUCUAACUCUAUGUCUGCCACUCUGUUUUUGUUUCUUGGAAUCUUUUCAUAUAUGAUAUAAUCCCUUUCUGUACAAUUUACAAGUACCCUAGUAAGAUCAGUGGCUGGAGUUGAGGGGUUUGGCAAAGUAGCAUAAUUAUUGUGCUUCUUUAAAGGGAUUGGCCUUUAUGGUUGGUAAUAGUAUGGUUGUAACAACAAAGAGAUUGUCAGAGUAAUCAGAUAGUGAAACAGACAGUGAAACAGUAUGGUUGUAUCAACUUUCUUUUCAUUUCAUUUUCUAUAAAAACAUGUCUGUUCUUUUCUUUGCUAAAAGAAAACAGAUAGUGAAACAGUUGGACUCUGCACAGGUGAACAAUGCAGGGAUUGGUGGAAGUAUAGUAGAUGGUGAUGCUUUAAAAGCUGCUGUAGCCUCUGGUGCCAUGGUAAGUUUUUUGCAUAAUUUUUAUCAAUAGCUAUCAAAAACUAAAAGCUUCAAUGAAUGUGACAAAGUUAGAAUAUAAACUGAUCUGUGGUUUGGCAAACUUUAAUCAACAUUUUUCUUGUUUUGGGUGGGUGUGUAAGUGGUGGGCAAUAGGCACCUUAAUAAUAAGUUUGCUUUUACUGAUACAGGAAAGAGGAGAAGUUGAUUUGAGUAAACUAAUGACUGAAACUUAUGAGUUAACAGAAGAAUGCUUGCAAAUAAACUAUUAUGGUGCUAAAAGAACAGCUGAAGCACUUAUCCCACUCCUCCAGUUAUCUGACUCACCGAGAAUUGUUAAUGUUUCAUCUUCCAUGGGGAAGUUGGAGAAGAUACCAAGCCAUCGGGCUAGAAGAGUUUUUACUGAUGCUGAAAACCUAACAGAAGAGAGAGUAGAUGAGGUACUGACCGAGCUUCUAAAAGACUUCAAGGAGGGUUCACUUGAAAGGAAGGGCUGGCCUUCUUCUAUGUCUGCCUCUACAGUCUCAAAAGCAGCACUGAACGCAUAUACAAGAAUUCUAGCAAAGAAGUACCUCAAUUUUCGUAUCAAUUCAGUCUGCCCGGGCUUUGUCAAAACAGAUAUAAACUACAAUGUCGGUGUCCUACCUGUCGAAGAAGGGGCUGCAAGGGUUAUGAAGUUAGCAUUGCUGCCCAAUGAUGGCCCUACUGGCUCCUUCUUUGUUCACAAUGAAGUGUCGGAUCUUUGAUUGAAGAAGAUCCAUAUAUGCAAAUUUAAUACGAUUCGCUUAUUGGGCAACAUCUUGUACUGUAAUGUAAUUUUAAGUAUUUUGGACACCAACAGAUCCUUUUGACGUUCUUUCUACAUUCAAUAAGAGGAUGGCAUAUAUGAUGUUUUAUCUAUGUAAAAUUUCACCAUAGCACACUGUUUAAAUAACAAAAGAAAGGGUCAGGUGUUUCUGGCCUAACCGGAAGCUCCGAGCUGGCUUGAUAACCUUCCCCUUUGGUUUUAGAGAAAGACUUAGCUGUCCUAGGGUGACUACUCCUCUUUCUUUCCUGUAGCAUCUUGUGAUGCAUGCAAGUUUCUUGCGUUUUGAGAAGAGAGACAACGCUGCCAAAUAAAGGCUAAAAGAGUAUUGAGUAAGGCAGUCGCAUCUGAAAUCACAUACACAAGGAGUUUUUUUUCUUUUAGAAAUGGAAUUCAUUCAUAGAAUCAAAGUAGCGUAUAUAGAACGACACAAAACAGUGACCUAGUUAAAACAUUGUUUAGGGAUAAAUUUUAGGGUAGGAAAGAGUACCACAUAUAUCAUUGACUAACAAGAGAGUCUAAAACAAUCACGCAUGACCAAUGCUAGAGCAAGAUAAAAUAAAACAACAAAUUGACACAUAGACCUCCGACGAGAACACUAUAACAUAGUCCAAUUGCCAAAAGAGUCAUACUAUGAAAUUAUAGUCCUUUUGAAGCAACGAGAUAUAGGGAUAGGGAGAUCGAACGAUAACCUUACAAUUAACAAUGUCGGAAUCCACCAACAAACUAAUUCACCAGAGAGUAAAUCUCAAAUAUAUUGAUUGAAAAUGAGAUGAAUAAACUGACAAACACAAUGCCAUGAGUUGGCUUAAAUAGAAAACGAAGAAACCCUAAAACAGUAGGAAACCCUAUGUUCUAGUAUAUUCCUAAACUUACCUAACAAGAAAAUAAUAAAAAUCAUAGCUAAAAUCAUAAUAACAAAAUAAUAUCCUAAUAGAUAACUUAUUCUUCCAAAUAUAAAAUAAAACAUUAAAUUAAAUACAAUCUUGACAGAAUCAUAAUUGCUUCAAACUUCCUUAAUCAAUUAGAAAAUCCCAACGAUACGCCUUGCUUCUUUUCCUACAUUUAAUUGGAAUUUUCCUCUCUUGCAUGAUUUUCUUCCAACUUUGAGCCACUCCACUUUAUUUUAAUUAAUUUUUCACACUUCGUCCUACAUCACCAUUGCACAGCCACAAGACAUUGAGAGCACCCGAUAGAGAACACAAUACACCAAGAAGAAAGAAAACAUCCACUAAGCACACCAUCUCUAACCAACUCCAAUUGCAAUUGGUGAUGAAAGAAGAGAAAUAUGUAAGGAACAACACAAAGAAGAAACUAACCACACAAACAGGCCAGGAAAGAAAAUAAAAUAAAAAAAGCCCUCAAGCACGCUGUAUCAUCUCAACACUGACAAAGAAACCUCCUAUAAAAGCAUAGUCCUAGUGACAGGCGGAGAAUCAAAGAUCAAUUAAGAAGAGAACGAAGAAAACACCACGCAACAAUAACAAAAUUGGUCUAGCCAUUUAACAUGAAUACAGGGAUCAAGCACAAGAGCAUUCGCCAGAUGUCAAGCCCACGAAUGCUCCAAGAACACAUUAAGGAAGACUCCCAAGAGAUUCCAAAAACAAUAUCAUUAAUAUUGCAAACAAGCUAACUUUUCUUUUUUCAAAUUUACCCUUAUUAAAUAUUUUUAUUCAAAAAUUUUACAACUUUUUUAUUACUCUCUCCCACUAUCACAUUCUCUCUCUCACACACCCAGACCCAUCUUCAUAACCCACCACUCCACCCAGACCCAUCCUCACACUUGGACUCCAUUUAUUAAGCAAAUUGACACCUUCGCUUUGGCAAAGUCAACAAAUGAAACUUCACAUGCACCUCUUGAGUCUUAAUUGAGAAUCCUAACACGAUUUGUGAGCCUGCUCGUUUUGCAGAAAAAAAAUUUCCAGCUCCCUCCCCUUAACCCAAAUUCAAAACCAUUUGGAAGACUCCCACCGUCGCUUUUCCCCCUUCUCCAUCAUCCCUGCACUUAUACCUCACCAACCCUCCCUGCAAUUUCUCACCACACCCACCCCCACCCCCACCCCUUUCCCCAAUCUCUAUGUACAUCCUCCCUGAAAUUUGGGUUUCUGCAAAAGAACAAAAAAAAAAAAAAAAAAAAAAAAAAGAUGACAAAAUCAUCGUAUUCAUAUUUUUGUGGAUAGACGUGUGAAGGAGGUAUUGUAAAAUAAAUAAAUAAAGAUCAAACAUGGGUGGGGUGGAAAAUGAAUGUGGCUGUUGGGUUUUCAUCGGCGGGGGAGGAGUCGAGGUUGUGGUGGGAAAAUGAAAUUAAUGGCUGGGGUGGGAGGUGGGGGUGGCUGCGCAGGUGGGAGGAGAGAUGAGUUGUGGGUGUUGACUGCUGGGUUUUCCCAGAGGAGGGGGCCAGGGCGAGUUGGGGUGGGGAUCGGGUGAUUGAAAAACCCCUUUUUUUAUUGUUUAUUAUUUUUUUUUAAAAAAAAGGGUAAAUACGGAAAUACAAUUAAUGUUCUUUUGUGUAAUUAAAUUAUUAGUUUAAGUGAGAGGGAAGUGACAUGUGUCGUGAGUAAAAGAACGAAAAUUCAAAAGAGAAAGUUAGAAAAAAGAUGCUAGCAUUCCCCAUCCUUAAACACAAAAAUCCAAACAAAUCCGAUUACUUCUUAUCAUUUAUUUGAAUACAGACCUUUAAAUUCAAAGGCUUUCCAGAAGAGAAGGCCUCUUCCUUCUGUUCAAAGGCUUCCCAUUUCGAAUAUAUCAAUGGCAGAAGCAACAAAGAGGUAGCACUUUAGAGUCCUUUCUGCUUUGGUUCCUUGUCACAUCUCCAUUCGCUCUAAUUGUUUCUGCUUACCAUUUUUGUGUUAUGAAUUUGGUGUUUUUGUUUUUCCAGGUAUGCAGUUGUUACUGGGGCAAACAAAGGCAUAGGAUUGGAAACUGUGAGGCAAUUGGCCUCAAAUGGAUUCACUGUAGUUUUAACUGCCAGAGAUGAGAAAAGGGGUCUUGAAGCUGCUGAGAAACUCAAAGAGUCUGGCCUCUCAGGUCAAGUGGUUUUUCAUCAACUUGAUGUGGCUAACCCAGCUACUGUUGCUUCCUUGGCAGACUUCAUCAAAACCCAGUUUGGGAAACUCGAUAUCUUGGUAAGUAUAUGAUCAUAGCUGCAGGUUUCUUGAAAAAGUUUAUGUCUCUUGAAUUGAACUCUUAAUCCGAACGCGAUUUAAUUGAAGGAGAUGAAAUAUGGAAUCAUAUAGCAAAUGAAAUUGGAGAAUAAAAAUAGCAAACCAAGUGUUAACUAGCUUAAUAAAUGUCAUCAAGAAGUUAAUCUUUGAAAUAAUUAGAAGUCUUAGGGUUUUUGAAGAACAAAAUAAGUUUCACAUAAACUACCAGUUGUGGAAGAUUUUACCUUCAAAUCUAACUCUAUGUCUGCCACUCUGUUUUUGUUUCUUGGAAUCUUUUCAUAUAUGAUAUGAUCCCUUUCUGUACAAUUUACAAGUACCUUAGAAAGAUCCGUGGCUGGAAUUAAGGGGUUUGGCAAAGUAGCAUAAUUAUUGUGCUUCUUUAAAGGCAUUGGCCUUUAUGGUUGGUAUGGUUGUAAAAACAAAGAGAUUGUCAGAGUACUCAGAGGAUCUAUCAACUUACUUUUCAUUUCAUUUUCUAUAAAAUAAAAAAAUCUGUUCUUUUCUUUACUAAAAGAAAACAGAAAGUGAAACAGUUGGACUCUGCACAGGUGAACAAUGCAGGGAUUUUUGGAAGCAUAUUAGAUGGUGAUGCUUUUAAAGCUGUAAUAGCCUCUGGUGCCGUGGUAAGUCUUUUGCAUAAUUUUUAUCAAUAGCUAUCAAAAACUAAAAGCUUCAAUGUAUGUGCCAAAGUGAGAAUUUAAACUGAUCUGUGGUUUGGCAAACUUUAAUAAACAUUUUUCUUGUUUGGGGUGUUGUGUAAGUGGUGGGCAAUAGGCAUCAUAAUAAUAAGUUUGCUUUUGUUGAUACAGGAAGGAGGAGAAGUUGAUUUGAGUAAACUAGUGACUGAAACGUAUGAGUUAACAGAAAAAUGCUUGCAAAUAAACUAUUAUGGUGCUAAAAGAACAGCUGAAGCACUUAUCCCACUCCUCCAGUUAUCUGACUCACCGAGAAUUGUUAAUGUUUCGUCUGGCUCGGGGAAGUUAAAGAAGAUACCAAGUGAUUGGGCUAAAGGAGUUUUUACUGAUGCCGAAAACCUAACAGAAGAGAGAGUAGAUAAGGUACUGACUGAGCUUCUAAAAGAUUUCAAGGAGGGUUCACUUGAAAGUAAGGGCUGGCCUUCUUCUAUGCCUGCCUAUAUAGUCUCAAAAGCAGCACUGAACGCAUAUACAAGGAUUCUAGGAAAGAAGUACCCCACUUUUCGUAUCAAUUCAGUCUGCCCUGGCUUUGUCAAAACAGAUAUAAACUUCAAUGCCGGCGUCUUGCCUGUCGAAGAGGGUGGUGCCAGGAUUGUAAAGUUAGCAUUGCUGCCCAAUGAUGGCCCUACUGGCUCCUUCUUUGUUCACGAUGAAGUGUCAGAUUUUUGAUUGAAGAUGAUCCAUUUAUGCAAAUUUAAUACGAGUCAUUUAUUGGGCAACAUUUGGUACUGUAAUGUAAUUUUAAGUAUUUUGGUAUGUAUAUUGAUUGAAGGAUCUAGUGCAUUGUUUACAUUUCUACUAUUCAUCUGGCUCUUGGACUCAUAUUAUCAUUUACAAUGUUAUUCAGUCAGAAAUUCUAUGUGAUCGAUGUCCGGUAUUAUCGAUAGUAUAUCAAUAACAUUUCGGUAUAUUUUGUUAGACUUAAGUUAGAGACAAUAAUAUUGACAGUCCAUCAUUUAAUUAAGGACGAAGUUUUGAGAAGAAUUGAUUAUUCAAUAUUAUCCAACUUAAAUUGUAAUAGCACAAUCGCAAACUUCUGCAGUCAAUUGUGUAAACGAAGGCAUAGGAUUGGAAACUGUCAGGCAGUUGGCCUCAAAAGGAUUCACUGUAGUCUUAACUGCCAGAGAUGAGAAGAGGGGUCUUGAAGUUGUUGGGAAACUCAAAGAGUCUGGCUCCUCAGGUCAAGUGAUUUUUCAUUAGCUUGAUGUGGCUAACCCAGUAACACAGGAGAAGGUUAAUGUUAAAUUGAGUGGCUGAUAUAUAUCAUGCUUAUUGUGUCCACUUCCAGUUGUGUACACGUACCAAGUACCCUAGAAAGAUCAGUGGCUGGAAUUAAGACCCACAUUCAGAGGACUCUCACCCUUAUUUAAGUGUGCUACCGGUGCGGCAGUUUUAUCGAAGAUUUUUUCCUAUCAAAAGGUGAAAGUUGUCACAAGUAAAUUAAUAUCCAUGUUUCUACUAGGAUAUAUUAGUCAAUUAGAAAUUUUCUGCGCAAGUUGAAAAGUCUUGCAUGCGAAACUGCUUGCCACUGCCACCACCAAAAUUCAACAACGUGAGCACUUGCGUCACCACUACCCCAUUAUUUUCCUUUAAAAUCUUCACAACAAAAUUCCAAACAAGUCUUGGUCCCUCUUUCACCACAAUAUCCAAUUACUGCUAGAAAACACUAGAAGCAUCCUCCCUCCAGUAUGUAAUAGGAACAACAGAACCAACAAUUUUCAUCUUCUUCUUAAUAUUUAUCUUAAUAUAAUCCCCAGAAUUCAAAGGCUUUUCAAGAACAUUUCACUAUAAAAGAGAAGAAGGCUGUUGCUGUUUAAUACACAUCUCAAUUUUCCCAGACCGUCCCGUUUCGAAUCUAUCAAUGGCAGAAGUAACAAAGAGGUAGCACUUUAAAGUACUGCUUUCAUAACAAUUUCUCACUAUUUUUGUGUUCUGAAUUUGGUGUUUUUUGUUUUCUCAGGUAUGCAAUUGUUACUGGAGCAAACAAAGGCGUAGGAUUGGAAACUGUCAGGCAGUUGGCCUCAAAUGGAUUUAUUGUAGUCUUGACUGCCAGAGAUGGCAAGAGGGGUCUUGAAGCUGUUGAGAAACUCAAAGAGUCUGGCCUCUCUGGUCAAGUGGUUUUUCAUCAACUUGAUGUAGCUAACCCUGCUAGUGUUGCUUCCUUGGCAGACUUCAUCAAAACCCAGUUUGGGAAACUGGAUAUCUUGGUAUGUAUAUGAUCAUAGCUGCAGGUUUCUUGAAAAAGUUUCUGUCUUUUGAAUCCAACUCUUAAUCCAAAUGCGAUUUUGUUGACGGAAUUGGAGAAUAAAAAUAGCAAACCAUCUACAUUUGUUUCUUGGAAUCCUUUCAUAUAUGAUGUGAUCCCUUUCUGUACAAUUUACAAGUACCCUAUAAAGAUCAGUGGCUGGAGUUAAGGGGUUUGGAAAAGUAGCAUGGUUGGUUUGGUUGUAAAACAAAGAGAUUAUCCAAGUAAUCAGAGGAUCUAUCAACUUUCUUUUCAUUUCAUUUUCUAUAGAAAAAAAUUAUGUUCUUUUCUUUGCUAAAAGAAAACAGAUAGUGAAACAGUUGGACUCUGCACAGGUGAACAAUGCAGGAAUUUUUGGAAGCAUAAUAGAUGUUGAUGCUUCUAAAGCUGCUGUAGCCUCUGGUGCCAUGGUAAGUCUUUUGCAUAAUUUUAUCAAUAGCUAUCAAAAACUAAAAGCUUCAAUCUAUAUGCCAAAGUGAGAAUUUAAAAUGAUUUGUGGUUUGGCAAACUUUAAUCAACAUUUUUCUUGUUUGGAGUGUUGUGCAAGUGGUGGGCAAUAGGCACCAUAAUAAUAAGUUUGCUUUUGCUGAUACAGGCAAGAGGAGAAGUUGAUUUGAGUAAACUAGUGACUGAAACUUAUGAGUUAACAGAAGAAUGCUUGCAAAUAAACUAUUAUGGUGCUAAAAGAACAGCUGAAGCACUUAUCCCACUCCUCCAGUUUUCUGACUCACCGAGAAUUGUUAAUGUUUCUGCUGGCUUGGGGAUGUUAAACAACAUACCAAGCGAUUGGGCUAGAGGAGUUUUUACUGAUGCCGAAAACCUAACAGAAGAGAGAGUAGAUGAGGUACUGACUGAGCUUCUAAAAGAUUUCAAGGAGGGUUCACUUGAAAGUAAGGGCUGGCCUUCUUCUAUGCCUGCCUAUAUAGUCUCAAAAGCAGCACUGAACGCAUAUACAAGGAUUCUAGCAAAGAAGUACCCCAAUUUUCGUAUCAAUUCAGUCUGCCCUGGCUAUGUCAAAACAGAUAUGAACUUCAAUGCCGGCCUCUUGCCUGUCGAAGAAGGUGGUGCCAGGGUUGUGAAGUUAGCAUUGCUGCCCAAUGAUGGCCCUACUGGCUCCUUCUUUGUUCAGAAUGAAGUGUCGGAUCUUUGAUUGAAGAUGAUCCAUUCAUGCAUAUUUAAUACAUGUCACCUAUUGGGCAACUUCUUGUACUGUAAUGUAAUUUUAAGUAUUUUGGACACCAGCAGAUUCUUUUUUGGUUCUUUCUACAUUCAAUACGAGGAUGGCAUGUAUAUGAUGCUUUUUAUCUAGGUAAAAUUUCACCAAAGCACAAUGUUUAAAUAACAAAAGAAACUGCACCCCAAAAAAGAAUAGAAAAGUUCAGGUGUUUCUGGCCUCACAGGAAGCUCUCAGCUGACUUGACCUUCCCCUUUGGUUUUUGGGGAAAGACUUAGCUGUCCUGGGGUGACUACUCCUUGUUCCUUCCUAUAGAAUCUUGUGAUGUAUGCAAGUUUCUUGCGUUUAGAGAGGAGAGACAACACUCCCAAAUAAAGGCCGAAAAAGUCACAUUUGUUAUAAAACUAAAGAAAUUGAAGAGAGAAUUUAGAGAAUUCAAAUAGCGACAGGAAUGCUCUUCCGUUAUUUUCAUUGAGAUUUUCUUCUAUAUCUACAAAUGAGAAUGAAGCUAUAGUUUUAUAGGCAAAGCCUUGGCUAACAAUUCGGUAAAUAGAAGACUCCAAGAAGGUGUAUGGAGAUUCCCUUCCAACAUGUGGGCUUCACUUUAUCAUCUUACAACAACAUUAGGGGGUCUCACCCUUUUUUGAGUGUGCUACCAGUCAUUAUGAGAUCCAUGUUUCAACAUGAUAUUAUUAUUUACCUUACCAGUCAAUCAGAAAAAGUAAGUAGGGUCUACACAAAAUUAGAAAUUGAAUUCUUGAUUUGAGGGGAAUUCAAUUUUUGAGUGGGAUGUGGUAUUUUAAUUUCAGGAGAACUAACUUAUUAGAAAUUCAUCUUUUUUACUCAUUAUAUCUUCAUACAAUUUUAAAAUUUCCAAAUUUGUUAUCUAUUUUAACUCGACAAUGAGGACAUUUUAGUAAUUAGUACAACUCCUACCUCAAUUUCAUAUGGUUUAGUAAACAACUUUAAUAGGAAUUUGGAAUCUAACUCUCCUCAAUCCAUAUAAUUUAGCAAACAACUUCAAUAAGAAUACGGAUUCUAAUUCUCCUUAAUCUAACUCAUCCUCAAUUCAAUUCCUCUUAAUCCGUACUCACCACCCCCAUUCUUUUCCUUCUAGAAAACGUUAGAAGCAUCCUCAAUCCAGUAUUUAUAUAGGAACAAACGAAUCAAAAAAUUUCUUCUUCUCAUUAUUAUUUAUUUGAAUAUAGACCUCAAAAUUCAAAGGCUUUCCAAGAACAUUACACUAUAAAACAAAAGAAGGCUCCUUCCUUAUUUUUAAUUAAUCUCAAUUCUCACAGACCGUCCCGUUUCGAAUAUAUCAAUGGCAGAAGCAACAAAGAGGUAGCACUUUAAAGUCCUUUAUGCUUUGAAGUACUGCUUCCAUAACAAUUUCUCACUAUUUUUUGUGUUAUGAAUUUGGUGUUUGUGUUUUCUCAGGUAUGCAGUUGUUACUGGAGCAAACAAAGGCAUAGGAUUGGAAACUGUGAGGCAAUUGGCCUCAAAUGGAUUCACUGUAGUCUUAACUGCCAGAGAUGAGAAAAGGGGUCUUGAAGCUGUUGAGAAACUCAAAGAAUCUGGCCUCUCACGUCAAGUGGUUUUUCAUCAACUUGAUGUGGCUAACCCUGCUACUGUUGCUUCCUUGGCAGAGUUCAUCAAAACCCAGUUUGGAAAACUCGAUAUCUUGGUAUGUGUAUGAUCAUAGCUGCAGGUUUCUUGAAAAAGUUUCUGUCUUUUGAAAUAAUUAUGUCUUAGGCGUACACAAUAUCCACACAGGUGAAGGUUAUAUUAGAGACUGUAAAAUUGAGUGGCUGAUCCAUAUAUUGCUUGCUUAUUGUGACCACUUCCAGUCGUGGAAGAUUUUACUAUCAAAUCUGACUCUAUGUCUGUCACAUUGUUUUUUCGGUUUUUUUUUGGUGUGGAAUUCUUUCCAUAUAUAUGCUAUAUGAUCCCUCUCUGAACAAUUUACAAGUACCCUAGAAAGAUCAGUGGCUGGAGUUAAGGGGUUUGGGAAAGGCAUAAUUGUUGGCCCUUGUGGUUGGUUUGGUUGUAACAACAAAAGAGAUUUAUCCAAGUAAUCAGAGGAUCUACCUUCUUCCAAUUAAUUUCAAUUUCUAGAAAAAAUUUCAGUUCUUUUCUUUGCUAAAAGAACCCAAAUAGUGAAACAGUUGGACUCUGCACAGGUGAACAAUGCAGGGAUUAGUGGACGCCAAGUAGACGGUGAUGCUCUUAAAGCUGUAGUAGACUCUGGUGCCAUGGUAAGUCUUUUGGAUAAUUUUUAUCAAUAGCUAUCAAAAACUAAAAGCUUCAAUGUAUGUGCUUAAUAUGAAUGUAAGUUCUCAUGAUGUCUUCCUCUGUCUUGAAAUAUUUUCAUUGUGAUGUGCAUGUCAAACUUUGAUCACCAUUUUUCUUGUUUGGGAUGGUUGUAAGUGGUUGGCAAUAGCCACCAUAAUAAGUUUGUUCUUACUGAUGCAGGAAAGAGGAGAAGUUGAUUGGAGUAAAUUAAAGAUAGAAACUUAUGAGUUGGCAGAAGAAUGCUUGCAAAUAAACUACUAUGGUGCUAAAAAAACGGCUGAAGCACUUAUCCCACUCCUCCAGUUAUCUGACUCACCGAGAAUUGUUAAUGUUUCCUCUUCCUUGGGGAAGUUAAAGAACAUACCUAGUGAUUGGGCUAAAGGAGUUUUUACUGAUGCUGAUAACCUAACAGAAGAGGGAGUAGUUGAGGUACUGACUGAGCUUCUAAAAGCCUUCAAGGAGGGUUCACUUGAAAGUAAGGGCUGGCCUUCUUCUUUGUCUGCCUAUAUAGUCUCAAAAGCUGCACUAAACGCUUAUACAAGGAUUCUAGCAAAGAAGUACCCCGAUAUUCGUAUCAAUUCGGUAUGCCCCGGCUUUGUCAAAACAGAUCUAAACUCCAAUGCCGGCGUCUUGCCUGUCGAAGAAGGUGGUGCCAGGGUUGUGAGUAUAGCAUUGCUGCCCAAUGAUGGCCCUUCUGGUUCCUUCUUUGUUCAGUAUGAAGUGUCAGAUCUUUGAUUGAAGAUGAUCCAUUUAUGCAAAUUUAAUACAUGUCACUUGUUGGGCAGCAUCUUGAACUUUGAUGUAAUUUAAGUAUAUUUGGAACCAGCAGCGGAUCCUUUUUAUGUUCUUUCUACAUUCAAUAAGAGGAUGGCAUAUAUGAUGCUUAUUGUUGUAGCCAUAUUUAAUUGUGCAACAUUCUCUAUCUAAUAGUCCUCUAUGAUUGCAUCUUUAUGAAAUUAUCUCCCACAUCUGGAAUUGAUUGAAGCAUCUGGUGCAUUGUUUGUUUACAUUUCUACUAUUCAUCUGCCUCUUGAACUCAUGUUAUCAUUUGCAUUGUUAUUCAGUCAGAAAUUCUAUGUGAUUCAUGUUCAUCCUUUGAUCGAUAUUAUUGAUGGUAUAUUGAUAACAUUUAGGUAUAUUUUGUGACAUAUGUCAGAGAAUAAUAUUGACACCUUCUGCAGUCAAUUGUUUAAAAAAACAAAAAGACAACAUAGGUCUCGUUAACAAUUAUGUAAUUUUGGAGCGGUUAAAUUCACCAAUCUUGCCGACGAAACUGCUUCAGCCUUGGCAUGUGGUUGAUGGUUGAGUUAAGCUCUCUCUGCUCUGCCACCACCACCAAAAUGCUUAAACAAUGGGAGCACUUGCGUCACCACCCCCAUUCUUUUCCUUAAUUCUUAAAAGAAAAAUCCAAACAAAUGUUGUUUUCCCAUCAGAUUACUUCUAGGAAACAUUCGACGCAAGCAUCCUCCCUCCAGUAUAGGAACAAACGAGUCUUAACAAUUUUCUUGCUCUUAUUAUUAUUUAUUUGAAUAUCAAACUUGAAAUGUGCAAAGGUUUUCCCACAGACAGACGAUCCCAUAAACGAAUCAGCAAUGGCAGAAGCAAGAAAGAGGUGGCACCUUAGAGUCCAUACCCUUUGAUUACUUCUAUAACAAUUUCUCACUCUUGUUUUUGUUUCCUUUUUGCUUUCCUAUUUUUGUUAUGAAAUUGGUGUUUCUUCUUUUGUUUUUCCAGGUAUGCAGUUGUUACUGGGGCAAACAAAGGCAUAGGAUUGGAAACUGUCAGGCAGUUGGCCUCAAAAGGAUUCACUGUAGUCUUAACUGCCAGAGAUGAGAAGAGGGGUCUUGAAGCUGUUGAGAAAUUCAAAGAAUCUGGCCUCUCAGGUCAAGUGGUUUUUCAUCAACUUGAUGUGGCUAACCCUGCUAGUCUUGCUCCUUUGGCAGACUUCAUCAAAACCCAGUUUGGGAAACUCGAUAUCUUGGUAUGUAUGAUCAUAGCUACAGGGUUAAUGUAAAAUUGAGUGAUCUAUAUCAUGCUUAUUGUGUCCACUUCCAGUUGUGGAAGAUUUUACUUUGAAGUCUAAAUCUAACUCUAACUAUAUGAAAGAUCAGUGACUGGAAUUAAGUGGUGUGACAAAGUAGCAUACUUAUUGGCCUUCUUUGAAGAGCACUGGUUGGUUAUAGCAGAUAGUUUAUCCAAGUAAUCAAAGCAUCUACCAACUUUCUUUUAAUUCCAUCUUGUAGAUGUUUUUUUCUUUGCUUUUGUUUGCAAAAGUAAAACAAGUAGUGAAACAGUUGGACUCUGCACAGGUGAACAAUGCAGGGAUUGGUGGAAGCACAGCGGAUCCUGAUGCCUUUAGAGCUGUAGUAGAGUCUGGUGCCUUUGUAAGUCUUUCAGAUAAUUCUUAUCAAUAGCUACCAAAAACUUAAAGCUUUAAUGUAUGUGUUUAAUGUGAAAAUUUAAAUUGAUCUGUGGUUUGGCUUAAUGCUAUGGCAAUUAGUAGGGGAAAUGAUCUGUGUAACAUCACCAGGCUGGUAUGAUUCGGGUGGGUGUGUAAGUAGUUGGCAAUAGCCACCGUAAUAAGUUUGUUCUUACUGAUGCAGGGAAGAGGAGAAGUUGAUUGGAGUAAACUAAGUACUGAAACUUAUGAGUUGGCAGAAGAAUGCUUGCAGAUAAACUAUUAUGGUGCUAAAAGAACAGCUGAAGCACUUAUCCCACUCCUCCAGUUAUCCGAUUCACCGAGAAUUGUUAAUGUUUCGUCUUUCAUGGGGAAGUUAAACAACAUACCGAGCGGUUGGGCUAAAGUAGUUUUUACUGAUGCAGAAAACCUAACAGAAGAGAGACUAGAUGAGGUACUGACUGAGCUUUUAAAAGCCUUCAAGGAGGGUUCACUUGAAAGUAAGGGCUUUCCUUCUUCUUUGUCAGCCUAUAUAGUCUCAAAAGCUGCACUGAACGCAUAUACUAGGAUUCUAGCAAAGAAGUACCCCACUUUUCGUAUCAAUUCGUUAUGCCCUGGCUUUGUCAAAACAGAUAUAAACUACAAUGUCGGUGUCCUACCUGUCGAAGAAGGGGCUGCAAGGGUUAUGAAGUUAGCAUUGCUGCCCAAUGAUGGCCCUUCUGGCUCCUUCUUUGUUGAGUACGAAGUGUCAGAUUUUUAAUUGAAGAUGAUCCGUUUAUGCAAAUUAAAUACAUGUCAUUUAUUUGGCAGGAUCUUGAAUUUUUAAUGUAACAAAGUGUAUUUGGACCCAGCACCAGAUCCCUUUUAAGUUCUUUCUACAUUCAAUAUGACUCGAGGACAACAUACAAUAGUCUUGUAUGAUUGCAUCUUUGUGAAAUUAUCUUCCACAUAUGGAAUUGAUUGAAGGAUCUAAUACAUUGCUUGUUUACAUUUCUACUUAUCAACUGGCUGUUGAACUCAUAUUAUCAUUUACAUUAUUAUUCAACCAGAAAUUCUAUAUGAUUGAUAUCCAUUUUUUGAUCGAUACUAUCAAUAACAUUUUGGUAUAUUUUGUUAUGGAUAUGCUGACAACAAUUAUAUUAACACUUAAUCCACAAUUCUUUCAUUAAUUAAGAAAUGACGUAGGUAUAAAGAAGAAUUGAUUAUCCAACAAUCCCUCAUUCCCUCGUUCCAUCAAUAUUAUUGUAUUCAAUUGUUUAAUAAAGAAAAAGACAAUUGUCAUGUUCAAUGCAAAACUGCUUAAGACUUCGCAUGUUACGACUUUUUUGCCUAUACACUCCAAUGGUAGUUGAGACAUUGGGGAAGCCCUUGUGAACAUGUUGUUGAAAGGUCUCUCUGGUCUGUCAACGUGUGCACUUGCGUCACUACCUUCUCCUUUUCCUUAACGAAAAUUCUACAGAGAAAAAUCCAAGCAAAUGCUGUUCUAUCUAUCUUUCCCAUUCAAAUGAUGUCAUAUCUCACUAUAUCUCACCAAACCCAGUUAUUAACUUAUUAUUACUUUCAUGACCCAAAAAAGAAAAAGUUACUUUUACGUUUUCCGUUUUUUGCUAUACCACUUUUUUGUCAGUAAGGACACAAUUGUACUUUUAUAAAUCCAAACUAACAAACGCCAUAAUGGGCUUACUCAUUGACUAAAAACUAACAAAAAUAUAAAAUCACUUGAGCAAGACCCAAAAGUAUAUAGGGUAUUUAGAAGAUCUUAAUUAGUGCAUUUCCACAUGUAAGCUUAUAAAUAGGACCGAAAUAUAGAAGAAUUCUACAAUAAAUUUUAGGAAAAAUUCAAUUUGUCUUUCAAAAUUAAAAUAAGGAGUUAAAUUCUUAUUACGGAUACUUCUAUGUUUUUUCCACAUUGAGAAACUAAAAAUACAAAUGACACCCACAAAAAAAGUAAAAAUUCAAUUCUUGAGUAGGGCAGCCGCAUGUGAAAUCACACUCGCAAAGAGUUAAGACCCACAUUCAGAGGGUCUCACCCUUAUUUGAGUGCCACCGGUGCCGCGGUCCUGUUUAAGAUUUUUUUCCUAUCAAAAGGUGAAGGUUGCCACAAGUAAAUUAAUGUAUGUAUUUUAUAUCUAGUGGGGAUGAAAAAGUAAGGUGAUCCAUGUUUCUAUAGGAUAUUAUUAUUUACAUUAUUAGUCAAUUAGAGUAGUCACAUCCACACCAGUCUUUGCAUGCGAAACUGCUUACUGCCCUGCAACUGCCUUCACCAAAAUUCUCCCACAAACCCAUUAUUUUCCUUUAAAAUCUUAAAAACAAAAUUUGGUCCCUCUGUCGCCACAAUUUCUAAUUAAUGUUAGAAAACACUAGAAGCAUAUAGGAACAAAAGAAUCAAAAUUUUCUUCUUCGUAUUAUUUAUUUGAAUAUGACCUCAAAAGUCAAAGGCUUUCCAAGAACAUUCACUAUAAAAGAAAAGAAGGCUCCUUCUGUUUAACACACAUCUCAAUUCUCACAGACCGUCCCGUUUCGAAUCUAUCAAUGGCAGAAGCAACAAAGAGGUAGCACUUUAGACUUCAUUAUGCUUUGUUUCCUUGUCCGAUUUCCAAUCCCUUUAAUUGUUUUUGUUUCUAUGAAUUUGGUGUUUGUGUUUUCUUAGGUAUGCGGUUGUUACUGGAGCAAACAAAGGUAUAGGAUUGGAAACUGUAAGGCAGUUGGCCUCAAAUGGGUUCACCGUAGUCUUAACUGCCCGAGAUGAGAAGAGGGGUCUUGAAGCUGUUGAGAAACUCAAAGAGUCUGGCCUCUCAGGUCAAGUGGUUUUUCAUCAACUUGAUGUGGUUGACCCUGCUACUGUUGCUUCUUUGGCAGACUUCAUCAAAACCCAGUUUGGGAAACUCGAUAUCUUGGUAUGUAUAUGAUCAUAGCUACAGGUUUCUUGAAAAAGUUUCUGUCUUUUGAAUCUAACUCUUAAUCCGAAUGCGAUUUAGUUGGAAGCACGGAUACGCUGGUUGAGGUGCGUAUCCCGUAUCCGAUACGCUAGGGGAUACGAUACGCUGUGAAUACGUGCGGAUACCCGAUGGAUACGUAUCCGAGUAAACGGAUACGGUCAAAGACAAAAAGAUACUCGUAUCUGACAUUACAGAUACGAGUAUCUGAUGUUUAGGAUACGCGUAUCAGGAAACGUCUCCACUUCUUCUUUCAGAUCUUCCUUCUUCUUCUUCAUCCAGCAGUGCCCCCACUCAUCAAUUCUUCUUCUUCGUCCUUAAGAAGCCCAGAUCUUCCUUUUUCUUCUUCAUCCAGCGGCGCCCCUACUCAUCAAUUUCUUCUUCUUCAUUCUUCAUUGUCGGCGGCGUCGGGUUCUCUUCUCCAUUUUCAUUUUGUUUUCUCACGCGUGCUUCUCUGUUCUUUUGACAAAAGGAUUUUGUUUUGUUUUUGUCUUUUUUUUUGGUCAAAGGAUUUUGUUUGUUUAAUAUUCACAGUUUCACCCACACCCCACGUGAUGGCUGGUCUUAUCGUUUUGACAAAAGGAUUUUGUUUUGUUUGUCUUAUUAAAAGUAAUAAUAUUAUAACCAAGACAAGUGGAAGUAUGUUAAAAGUAAUAAUAUCAAAAGUAGUUAUUUAAAAUAUGUUAUAAAUUAUAUAUAUUGUUAUUUUUAAAUUAUUAUAUAUUAUUUAAAUUACCGUAUUCACGACGUAUCGUAUCCUAAUUUUUAAAAAUUUAUCGUGUCUCCGUGUGGUGUCGUAUCGUAUUCUCGUAUCCGUAUCCGUGUCCGUGCUAUGAAAUAUGGAAUUGGAAAAUGAAAAUAGCAAACCAAGUAAUAACUAGCUUAGUAAUAUCUUCAACAAGUUAAUCUUUGAAAUAAUUAGAAGUCUUAGGCUUUUUGAAGAACAAAACAAGUUUCACAUAACUACCAGUCUACCACUCUGUUUUUGUUUCUUGGAAUCUUUUGAUAUAUGAUAUGAUCCCUUUCUGUACAAUUUAUAUGUACUCUAGAAAGAUCAGUGGCUGGAGUUACGGGGUUUGGCAAAGUGGCAUAAUUAUUGGGCUUCUUUAAAGGGCAUUGGACUUUAUGGUUAGUUUGGUUUUAACAACAAAGAGAUUGUAAGAGUAAUCAGAGGAUCUAUCAACUUUCUUUUCCUUUCAUUUUCUAUAAAGAUUUUCUGUUCUUUUCUUUGCUAAAAGAAAACAGAUAGUGAAACAGUUGGACUCUGCACAGGUGAACAAUGCAGGGGUUAUUGGAAGCAUAGUAGAUGGUGAUGCUUUUAAAGCUUCUGUAGCCUCCGGUGCCACGGUAAGUCUUUUGCAUAAUUUUUUUAUCAAUAGCUAUCAAAAACUAAAAGCUUCAAUGUAUGUGCCAAAGUGAGAAUUUAAACUGAUCUGUGGUUUGGCAUACUUUAAUCAACGUUUUUCUUGUUUGGGGUGGGUGUGUAAGUGGUGGGCAAUAGGCACCAUAAUAAUAAGUUUGUUUUUGCUGAUACAGGAAAGAGGAGGAGUUGAUUUUAGUAAACUAGUGACUGAAACUUACGAGUUAACAGAAGAAUGCUUGCAAAUAAACUAUUAUGGUGCUAAAAGAACAGCUGAAGCACUUAUCCCACUCCUCCUGUUAUCUGACUCACCGAGAAUUGUUAAUGUUUCUUCUGUCAUGGGGAUGUUAAACAACAUACCAAGCGAUUGGGCUAGAGGAGUUUUUACUGAUGCCGAAAACCUAACAGAAGAGAGAGUAGAUGAGGUACUGACUGAGCUUCUAAAAGAUUUCAAGGAGGGUUCACUUGAAAGUAAGGGCUGGCCUUCUUCUAUGCCUGCCUAUAUAGUCUCAAAAGCAGCACUGAACGCAUAUACAAGGAUUCUAGGAAAGAAGUACCCCACUUUUCGUAUCAAUUCAGUCUGCCCUGGCUUUGUCAAAACAGAUAUAAACUUCAAUGCCGGCGUCUUGCCUGUCGAAGAGGGUGGUGCCAGGAUUGUAAAGUUAGCAUUGCUGCCCAAUGAUGGCCCUACUGGCUCCUUCUUUGUUCACAAUGAAGUGUCAGAUUUUUGAUUGAAGAUGAUCCAUUUAUGCAAAUUUAAUACGAGUCAUUUAUUGGGCAACAUUUGGUACUGUAAUGUAAUUUUAAGUAUUUUGGUAUGUAUAUUGAUUGAAGGAUCUAGUGCAUUGUUUACAUUUCUACUAUUCAUCUGGCUCUUGCACUCAUAUUAUCAUUUACAAUGUUAUUCAGUCAGAAAUUCUAUGUGAUCGAUGUCCGGUAUUAUCGAUAGUAUAUCAAUAACAUUUCGGUAUAUUUUGUUAGACUUAAGUUAGAGACAAUAAUAUUGACAGUCCAUCAUUUAAUUAAGGACGAAGUUUUGAGAAGAAUUGAUUAUUCAAUAUUAUCCAACUUAAAUUGUAAUAGCACAAUCGCAAACUUCUGCAGUCAAUUGUGUAAACGAAGGCAUAGGAUUGGAAACUGUCAGGCAGUUGGCCUCAAAAGGAUUCACUGUAGUCUUAACUGCCAGAGAUGAGAAGAGGGGUCUUGAAGUUGUUGGGAAACUCAAAGAGUCUGGCUCCUCAGGUCAAGUGAUUUUUCAUUAGCUUGAUGUGGCUAACCCAGUAACACAGGAGAAGGUUAAUGUUAAAUUGAGUGGCUGAUAUAUAUCAUGCUUAUUGUGUCCACUUCCAGUUGUGUACACGUACCAAGUACCCUAGAAAGAUCAGUGGCUGGAAUUAAGACCCACAUUCAGAGGACUCUCACCCUUAUUUAAGUGUGCUACCGGUGCGGCAGUUUUAUCGAAGAUUUUUUCCUAUCAAAAGGUGAAAGUUGUCACAAGUAAAUUAAUAUCCAUGUUUCUACUAGGAUAUAUUAGUCAAUUAGAAAUUUUCUGCGCAAGUUGAAAAGUCUUGCAUGCGAAACUGCUUGCCACUGCCACCACCAAAAUUCAACAACGUGAGCACUUGCGUCACCACUACCCCAUUAUUUUCCUUUAAAAUCUUCACAACAAAAUUCCAAACAAGUCUUGGUCCCUCUUUCACCACAAUAUCCAAUUACUGCUAGAAAACACUAGAAGCAUCCUCCCUCCAGUAUGUAAUAGGAACAACAGAACCAACAAUUUUCAUCUUCUUCUUAAUAUUUAUCUUAAUAUAAUCCCCAGAAUUCAAAGGCUUUUCAAGAACAUUUCACUAUAAAAGAGAAGAAGGCUGUUGCUGUUUAAUACACAUCUCAAUUUUCACAGACCGUCCCGUUUCGAAUCUAUCAAUGGCAGAAGUAACAAAGAGGUAGCACUUUAAAGUACUGCUUCCAUAACAAUUUCUCACUAUUUUUUGUGUUAUGAAUUUGGUGUUUGUGUUUUCUCAGGUAUGCAGUUGUUACUGGAGCAAACAAAGGCAUAGGAUUGGAAACUGUGAGGCAAUUGGCCUCAAAUGGAUUCACUGUAGUCUUAACUGCCAGAGAUGAGAAAAGGGGUCUUGAAGCUGUUGAGAAACUCAAAGAAUCUGGCCUCUCUGGUCAAGUGGUUUUUCAUCAACUUGAUGUGGCUAACCCUGCUACUGUUGCUUCCUUGGCAGAGUUCAUCAAAACCCAGUUUGGAAAACUCGAUAUCUUGGUAUGUGUAUGAUCAUAGCUGCAGGUUUCUUGAAAAAGUUUCUGUCUUUUGAAAUAAUUAUAAGUCUUAGGCUUACACAAUAUCCACACAGGUGAAGGUUAUAUUAGAGACUGUAAAAUUGAGUGGCUGAUCCAUAUAUUGCUUGCUUAUUGUGACCACUUCCAGUUGUGGAAGAUGUUACUGUCAAAUCUAACUCUAUGUCUGUCACAUUGUUUUUUCGUUUUUUUUUUUUUUUUUUUGGGUGGAAUUCUUUCCAUAUAUAUGCUAUAUGAUCCCUCUCUGUACAAUUUAGAAGUAACCUAGAAAUAUCAGAGGCUGGAGUUAAGGGGUUUGGGAAAGGCACAAUUAUUAGCCUUUAUGGUUGGUUUGGUUGUAACAACGAAAGAGAUUUAUCCAAGUAAUCAGAGGAUCUACCUUCUUCCAAUUAAUUUCAUUUUCUAGAAAAAAUUUCAGUUCUUUUCUUUGCUAAAAGAACCCAAAUAGUGAAACAGUUGGACUCUGCACAGGUGAACAAUGCAGGGAUUAGUGGACGCCAAGUAGACGGUGAUGCUCUUAAAGCUGUAGUAGACUCUGGUGCCAUGGUAAGUCUUUUGGAUAAUUUUUAUCAAUAGCUAUCAAAAACUAAAAGCUUCAAUAUAUGUGCUUAAUAUGAAUGUAAGUUCUCAUGAUGUCUUCCUCUGUCUUGAAAUAUUUUCAUUGUGAUGUGCAUGUCAAACUUUGAUCACCAUUUUUCUUGUUUGGGAUGGUUGUAAGUGGUUGGCAAUAGCCACCAUAAUAAGUUUGUUCUUACUGAUGCAGGAAAGAGGAGAAGUUGAUUGGAAUAAAUUAAAGAUAGAAACUUAUGAGUUGGCAGAAGAAUGCUUGCAAAUAAACUACUAUGGUGCUAAAAAAACGGCUGAAGCACUUAUCCCACUCCUCCAGUUAUCUGACUCACCGAGAAUUGUUAAUGUUUCCUCUUCCUUGGGGAAGUUAAAGAACAUACCUAGUGAUUGGGCUAAAGGAGUUUUUACUGAUGCUGAUAACCUAACAGAAGAGGGAGUAGUUGAGGUACUGACUGAGCUUCUAAAAGCCUUCAAGGAGGGUUCACUUGAAAGUAAGGGCUGGCCUUCUUCUUUGUCUGCCUAUAUAGUCUCAAAAGCUGCACUAAACGCUUAUACAAGGAUUCUAGCAAAGAAGUACCCCGAUAUUCGUAUCAAUUCGGUAUGCCCCGGCUUUGUCAAAACAGAUCUAAACUCCAAUGCCGGCGUCUUGCCUGUCGAAGAAGGUGGUGCCAGGGUUGUGAGUAUAGCAUUGCUGCCCAAUGAUGGCCCUUCUGGUUCCUUCUUUGUUCAGUAUGAAGUGUCAGAUCUUUGAUUGAAGAUGAUCCAUUUAUGCAAAUUUAAUACAUGUCACUUGUUGGGCAGCAUCUUGAACUUUGAUGUAAUUUAAGUAUAUUUGGAACCAGCAGCGGAUCCUUUUUAUGUUCUUUCUACAUUCAAUAAGAGGAUGGCAUAUAUGAUGCUUAUUGUUGUAGCCAUAUUUAAUUGUGCAACAUUCUCUAUCUAAUAGUCCUCUAUGAUUGCAUCUUUAUGAAAUUAUCUCCCACAUCUGGAAUUGAUUGAAGCAUCUGGUGCAUUGUUUGUUUACAUUUCUACUAUUCAUCUGCCUCUUGAACUCAUGUUAUCAUUUGCAUUGUUAUUCAGUCAGAAAUUCUAUGUGAUUCAUGUUCAUCCUUUGAUCGAUAUUAUUGAUGGUAUAUUGAUAACAUUUAGGUAUAUUUUGUGACAUAUGUCAGAGAAUAAUAUUGACACCUUCUGCAGUCAAUUGUUUAAAAAAACAAAAAGACAACAUAGGUCUCGUUAACAAUUAUGUAAUUUUGGAGCGGUUAAAUUCACCAAUCUUGCCGACGAAACUGCUUCAGCCUUGGCAUGUGGUUGAUGGUUGAGUUAAGCUCUCUCUGCUCUGCCACCACCACCAAAAUGCUUAAACAAUGGGAGCACUUGCGUCACCACCCCCAUUCUUUUCCUUAAUUCUUAAAAGAAAAAUCCAAACAAAUGUUGUUUUCCCAUCAGAUUACUUCUAGGAAACAUUCGACGCAAGCAUCCUCCCUCCAGUAUAGGAACAAACGAGUCUUAACAAUUUUCUUGCUCUUAUUAUUAUUUAUUUGAAUAUCAAACUUGAAAUGUGCAAAGGUUUUCCCACAGACAGACGAUCCCAUAAACGAAUCAGCAAUGGCAGAAGCAAGAAAGAGGUGGCACCUUAGAGUCCAUACCCUUUGAUUACUUCUAUAACAAUUUCUCACUCUUGUUUUUGUUUCCUUUUUGCUUUCCUAUUUUUGUUAUGAAAUUGGUGUUUCUUCUUUUGUUUUUCCAGGUAUGCAGUUGUUACUGGGGCAAACAAAGGCAUAGGAUUGGAAACUGUCAGGCAGUUGGCCUCAAAAGGAUUCACUGUAGUCUUAACUGCCAGAGAUGAGAAGAGGGGUCUUGAAGCUGUUGAGAAAUUCAAAGAAUCUGGCCUCUCAGGUCAAGUGGUUUUUCAUCAACUUGAUGUGGCUAACCCUGCUAGUCUUGCUCCUUUGGCAGACUUCAUCAAAACCCAGUUUGGGAAACUCGAUAUCUUGGUAUGUAUGAUCAUAGCUACAGGGUUAAUGUAAAAUUGAGUGAUCUAUAUCAUGCUUAUUGUGUCCACUUCCAGUUGUGGAAGAUUUUACUUUGAAGUCUAAAUCUAACUCUAACUAUAUGAAAGAUCAGUGACUGGAAUUAAGUGGUGUGACAAAGUAGCAUACUUAUUGGCCUUCUUUGAAGAGCACUGGUUGGUUAUAGCAGAUAGUUUAUCCAAGUAAUCAAAGCAUCUACCAACUUUCUUUUAAUUCCAUCUUGUAGAUGUUUUUUUCUUUGCUUUUGUUUGCAAAAGUAAAACAAGUAGUGAAACAGUUGGACUCUGCACAGGUGAACAAUGCAGGGAUUGGUGGAAGCACAGCGGAUCCUGAUGCCUUUAGAGCUGUAGUAGAGUCUGGUGCCUUUGUAAGUCUUUCAGAUAAUUCUUAUCAAUAGCUACCAAAAACUUAAAGCUUUAAUGUAUGUGUUUAAUGUGAAAAUUUAAAUUGAUCUGUGGUUUGGCUUAAUGCUAUGGCAAUUAGUAGGGGAAAUGAUCUGUGUAACAUCACCAGGCUGGUAUGAUUCGGGUGGGUGUGUAAGUAGUUGGCAAUAGCCACCGUAAUAAGUUUGUUCUUACUGAUGCAGGGAAGAGGAGAAGUUGAUUGGAGUAAACUAAGUACUGAAACUUAUGAGUUGGCAGAAGAAUGCUUGCAGAUAAACUAUUAUGGUGCUAAAAGAACAGCUGAAGCACUUAUCCCACUCCUCCAGUUAUCCGAUUCACCGAGAAUUGUUAAUGUUUCGUCUUUCAUGGGGAAGUUAAACAACAUACCGAGCGGUUGGGCUAAAGUAGUUUUUACUGAUGCAGAAAACCUAACAGAAGAGAGACUAGAUGAGGUACUGACUGAGCUUUUAAAAGCCUUCAAGGAGGGUUCACUUGAAAGUAAGGGCUUUCCUUCUUCUUUGUCAGCCUAUAUAGUCUCAAAAGCUGCACUGAACGCAUAUACUAGGAUUCUAGCAAAGAAGUACCCCACUUUUCGUAUCAAUUCGUUAUGCCCUGGCUUUGUCAAAACAGAUAUAAACUACAAUGUCGGUGUCCUACCUGUCGAAGAAGGGGCUGCAAGGGUUAUGAAGUUAGCAUUGCUGCCCAAUGAUGGCCCUUCUGGCUCCUUCUUUGUUGAGUACGAAGUGUCAGAUUUUUAAUUGAAGAUGAUCCGUUUAUGCAAAUUAAAUACAUGUCAUUUAUUUGGCAGAAUCUUGAAUUUCUAAUGUAACAAAGUGUAUUUGGACCCAGCACCAGAUCCCUUUUAAGUUCUUUCUACAUUCAAUAUGACUCGAGGACAACAUACAAUAGUCUUGUAUGAUUGCAUCUUUGUGAAAUUAUCUUCCACAUAUGGAAUUGAUUGAAGGAUCUAAUACAUUGCUUGUUUACAUUUCUACUUAUCAACUGGCUGUUGAACUCAUAUUAUCAUUUACAUUAUUAUUCAACCAGAAAUUCUAUAUGAUUGAUAUCCAUUCUUUGAUCGAUACUAUCAAUAACAUUUUGGUAUAUUUUGUUAUGGAUAUGCUGACAACAAUUAUAUUAACACUUAAUCCACAAUUCUUUCAUUAAUUAAGAAAUGACGUAGGUAUAAAGAAGAAUUGAUUAUCCAACAAUCCCUCAUUCCCUCGUUCCAUCAAUAUUAUUGUAUUCAAUUGUUUAAUAAAGAAAAAGACAAUUGUCAUGUUCAAUGCAAAACUGCUUAAGACUUCGCAUGUUACGACUUUUUUGCCUAUACACACCAAUGGUAGUUGAGACAUUGGGGAAGCCCUUGUGAACAUGUUGUUGAAAGGUCUCUCUGGUCUGUCAACGUGUGCACUUGCGUCACUACCUUCUCCUUUUCCUUAACGAAAAUUCUACAGAGAAAAAUCCAAGCAAAUGCUGUUCUAUCUAUCUUUCCCAUUCAAAUGAUGUCAUAUCUCACUAUAUCUCACCAAACCCAGUUAUUAACUUAUUAUUACUUUCAUGACCCAAAAAAGAAAAAGUUACUUUUACGUUUUCCGUUUUUUGCUAUACCACUUUUUUGUCAGUAAGGACACAAUUGUACUUUUAUAAAUCCAAACUAACAAACGCCAUAAUGGGCUUACUCAUUGACUAAAAACUAACAAAAAUAUAAAAUCACUUGAGCAAGACCCAAAAGUAUAUAGGGUAUUUAGAAGAUCUUAAUUAGUGCAUUUCCACAUGUAAGCUUAUAAAUAGGACCGAAAUAUAGAAGAAUUCUACAAUAAAUUUUAGGAAAAAUUCAAUUUGUCUUUCAAAAUUAAAAUAAGGAGUUAAAUUCUUAUUACGGAUACUUCUAUGUUUUUUCCACAUUGAGAAACUAAAAAUACAAAUGACACCCACAAAAAAAGUAAAAAUUCAAUUCUUGAGUAGGGCAGCCGCAUGUGAAAUCACACUCGCAAAGAGUUAAGACCCACAUUCAGAGGGUCUCACCCUUAUUUGAGUGCCACCGGUGCCGCGGUCCUGUUUAAGAUUUUUUUCCUAUCAAAAGGUGAAGGUUGCCACAAGUAAAUUAAUGUAUGUAUUUUAUAUCUAGUGGGGAUGAAAAAGUAAGGUGAUCCAUGUUUCUAUAGGAUAUUAUUAUUUACAUUAUUAGUCAAUUAGAGUAGUCACAUCCACACCAGUCUUUGCAUGCGAAACUGCUUACUGCCCUGCAACUGCCUUCACCAAAAUUCUCCCACAAACCCAUUAUUUUCCUUUAAAAUCUUAAAAACAAAAUUUGGUCCCUCUGUCGCCACAAUUUCUAAUUAAUGUUAGAAAACACUAGAAGCAUAUAGGAACAAAAGAAUCAAAAUUUUCUUCUUCGUAUUAUUUAUUUGAAUAUGACCUCAAAAGUCAAAGGCUUUCCAAGAACAUUCACUAUAAAAGAAAAGAAGGCUCCUUCUGUUUAACACACAUCUCAAUUCUCACAGACCGUCCCGUUUCGAAUCUAUCAAUGGCAGAAGCAACAAAGAGGUAGCACUUUAGACUUCAUUAUGCUUUGUUUCCUUGUCCGAUUUCCAAUCCCUUUAAUUGUUUUUGUUUCUAUGAAUUUGGUGUUUGUGUUUUCUUAGGUAUGCGGUUGUUACUGGAGCAAACAAAGGUAUAGGAUUGGAAACUGUAAGGCAGUUGGCCUCAAAUGGGUUCACCGUAGUCUUAACUGCCCGAGAUGAGAAGAGGGGUCUUGAAGCUGUUGAGAAACUCAAAGAGUCUGGCCUCUCAGGUCAAGUGGUUUUUCAUCAACUUGAUGUGGUUGACCCUGCUACUGUUGCUUCUUUGGCAGACUUCAUCAAAACCCAGUUUGGGAAACUCGAUAUCUUGGUAUGUAUAUGAUCAUAGCUACAGGUUUCUUGAAAAAGUUUCUGUCUUUUGAAUCUAACUCUUAAUCCGAAUGUGAUUUAGUUGGAGGAGAUGAAAUAUGGAAUUGGAAAAUGAAAAUAGCAAACCAAGUAAUAACUAGCUUAGUAAUAUCUUCAACAAGUUAAUCUUUGAAAUAAUUAGAAGUCUUAGGCUUUUUGAAGAACAAAACAAGUUUCACAUAACUACCAGUCUGCCACUCUGUUUUUGUUUCUUGGAAUCUUUUCAUAUAUGAUAUGAUCCCUUUCUGUACAAUUUAUAAGUACCCUAGAAAGAUCAGUGGCUGGAGUUACGGGGUUUGGCAAAGUGGCAUAAUUAUUGGGCUUCUUUAAAGGGCAUUGGCCUUUAUGGUUAGUUUGGUUUUAACAACAAAGAGAUUGUAAGAGUAAUCAGUGGAUCUAUCAACUUUCUUUUCCUUUCAUUUUCGAUUUUCUGUUCUUUUCUUUGCUAAAAGAAAACAGAUAGUGAAACAGUUGGACUCUGCACAGGUGAACAAUGCAGGGGUUGGUGGAAGCAUAGUAGAUGGUGAUGCUUUUAAAGCUUCUGUAGCCUCCGGUGCCACGGUAAGUCUUUUGUAUAAUUUUUUAUCAAUAGCUAUCAAAAACUAAAAGCUUCAAUGUAUGUGCCAAAGUGAGAAUUUAAACUGAUCUGUGGUUUGGCAUACUUUAAUCAACGUUUUUCUUGUUUGGGGUGGGUGUGUAAGUGGUGGGCAAUAGGCACCAUAAUAAUAAGUUUGUUUUUGCUGAUACAGGAAAGAGGAGGAGUUGAUUUUAGUAAACUAGUGACUGAAACUUAUGAGUUAACAGAAGAAUGCUUGCAAAUAAACUAUUAUGGUGCUAAAAGAACAGCUGAAGCACUUAUCCCACUCCUCCAGUUAUCUGACUCACCGAAAAUUGUUAAUGUUUCUUCUGUCAUGGGGAUGUUAAACAACAUACCAAGCGAUUGGGCUAGAGGAGUUUUUACUGAUGCCGAAAACCUAACAGAAGAGAGAGUAGAUGAGGUACUGACUGAGCUUCUAAAAGAUUUCAAGGAGGGUUCACUUGAAAGUAAGGGCUGGCCUUCUUCUAUGCCUGCCUAUAUAGUCUCAAAAGCAGCACUGAACGCAUAUACAAGGAUUCUAGCAAAGAAGUACCCCACUUUUCGUAUCAAUUCAGUCUGCCCUGGCUUUGUCAAAACAGAUAUAAACUACAAUGUCGGUGUCCUACCUGUCGAAGAAGGGGCUGCAAGGGUUAUGAAGUUAGCAUUGCUGCCCAAUGAUGGGCCUUCUGGUUCCUUCUUUGUUCAGUAUGAAGUGUCAGAUCUUUGAUUGAAGAUGAUCCAUUUAUGCAAUUUUAAUACAUAUCACUUGUUGGGCAGCAUCUUGAACUUUGAUGUAAUUUAAGUAUAUUUGGAACCAGCAGCAGAUCCUUUUUAAGUUCUUUCUACAUUCAAUAUGACUCGAGGACGACAUAAAAUAGUCCUGUAUGAUUGCAUCUCUGUGAAAUUAUUUUCCACAUCUUGAGUUGAUUGAAGGAUCUAAUACAUUGCUUGUUUACAUUUCUACUUAUCAACCGGCUCUUGAACCCAUAUUAUCGUUUACAUUAUUAUUCAACCAGAAAUUCUAUGUGAUUGAUAUCCCUCCUUUAAUCGAUACUAUCAAUAACAUUUUAGUAUAUUUUGUUAUAGAUAUGUUGGCAACAAUUAUAUUAAUCCUUUAUCGACAAUCUGUCAUUAAUUAAGAAAUAACAUAGGUAUUAAUUAAGAAAUAACAUAGGUAUAGAGAAGAAUUGAUUAUCCAACAAUCCGUCAAUCUGUCAAUCCAUCAAUAUUAUUGUAUUCAAUUGUUGAAUAAAGAAAAAUGACAAUUGGCAUGUUCAAUGCAAAACUACUUACGACUUUGCAUGUUACGACUUUUUUGCCUAUAUACUCCAACGGUGGCUGAGCCCCUUUUAGGGGCCCCACUGGGGAAGCCCUUGUGAACAUGUUGUUGAAAGGUCUCUCUGGUCUGUCAACGUGUGCACUUGCGUCACUACCUUCAUACUUUUCCUUAAUACUCCAAGCAAAUGUUGUUCCAUCUUUCCCAUUCAAUGACUUCUAGAAAACAUUACAGGCAAGCAUUCUUUCUCCAGUAUAGGAACAAACGGCUUUUCAAGAACAUUUUACUAUAAAACAAAAGAAGCCUCCUUCUGUUUAGUCUCACUUCUCACAGACCGUCCAAUUAUCGAAUCAUCAAUGGCAGAAGCAACAAGGAGGUAGCACUUUAGAGUCCUUUAUGCUUUGGUUCCUUGUCACAUCUCCAUUCCCUCUCAUUGUUUCUGCUUAUCAUUUUUGUGUUACGAAUUUGGUGUUUUUGUUUUUCCAGGUAUGCAGUUGUUACUGGGGCAAACAAAGGCAUAGGAUUGGAAACUGUGAGGCAAUUGGCCUCAAAUGGAUUCACUGUAGUCUUAACUGCCAGAGAUGAGAAAAGGGGUCUUGAAGCUGCUGAGAAACUCAAAGAGUCUGGCCUCUCAGGUCAAGUGGUUUUUCAUCAACUUGAUGUGGCUGACCCUGCUACUGUUGCUUCCUUGGCAGAGUUCAUCAAAACCCAGUUUGGGAAACUCGAUAUCUUGGUAUGUGUAUGAUCAUAGCUGCAGGUUUCUUGAAAAAGUUUUGGUCUUUUGAAAUAAUUAGAAGUCUCAGGCUUACACAAUAUCCACACAGGUGAAGGUUACAUUAGAGACUGUAAAAUUGAUCAUAUCAUGCUUGCUUAUUGUGUCCACUUCCAGUUGUGGGAGAUUUUACUUUCAAGUCUAACUAUAAGAUAUGAACCCUCUGUACAAUUUACAAGUACCCUAGAAAGAUCAGUGGCUGGAGUUAAGGGAUUUGGCAAUGCCUUGAUGGUUGGUUAUAGAACCAUAUAGAUUAUCUUAGUAACCCGAGGAUGUACCAACUUCUUUUAAUUGCAUUUUCUACAAUUUUCUUUUCUUUGCUAAAUUAAAAUAGGUAGUGAGACAGUGGUUUCUGCACAGGUGAACAAUGCAGGGAUUGGUGGAGCCAUAGGAGAUGCUGAUGCCUUUACAGCUUUAGUGAAGUCUUUCGACAUGGUAAGUCUUUCGAAUUAAUUUUUUCAAUAGCUAUCAAAACCUAAAAGUUUCAAUGUAUGGCUUGAAAAUUUUUCAUUGUGAUGUUCAUGUCAAACUUUGAUCAACAUUUUUCUUGUUUGUGGUGGCUGUGGGCUAUAGGACCAUAACAAUAAGUUCGUUCUUACCGAUACAGGGGAGAGGAGAAAUUGGUAGUAAACUAAUGACUGAAACUUAUGAGUUAACAGAAGAAUGCUUGCAAAUAAACUAUUAUGGUGCUAAAAGAACAGCUGAAGCACUUAUCCCACUCCUCCAGUUAUCUGACUCACCGAGAAUUGUUAACGUUUCGUCUUUCCUGGGGAAGUUAAUGCAUAUACCAAGCGAUUGGGCUAGAGGAGUUUUUACUGAUGCUGAAAACCUAACAGAAGAGAGAGUAGAUGAGGUACUGACCGAGCUUCUAAAAGAUUUCAAGGAGGGUUCACUUGAAAGUAAGGGCUGGCCUUCUCCUUCGUCUGCCUAUGUAGUCUCGAAAGCUGCACUGAACGCAUAUACAAGGAUUCUAGCAAAGAAGUACCCCACUUUUCGUAUCAAUUCGUUAUGCCCUGGCUUUGUCAAAACAGAUAUAAACUACAAUGCCGGUGUCCUACCUGUCAAAGAUGGGGCUGCAAGGGUUAUGAAGUUAGCAUUGCUGCCCAAUGAUGGCCCUUCUGGCUCCUUCUUUGUUCACUAUGAAGUGUCAGAUUUUUAAUUGAAGAUGAUUGUUGUGAAAUUUAUUGCA
rnacentral:lncRNA from 1 species